AUACGGAGGAUCCGAGCGUUAUCCGGACUUAUUGGGUUUAAAGGGUGCGUAGGUGGUUUGAUAAGUCAGCGGUGAAAGUUUGCAGCUUAACUGUAAAAAUGCCGUUGAAACUGUCGGACUUGAGUGUAAAUGAGGUAGGCGGAAUGCGUGGUGUAGCGGUGAAAUGCAUAGAUAUCACGCAGAACUCCGAUUGCGAAGGCAGCUUACUAAGCUACAACUGACACUGAAGCACGAAAGCGUGGGGAUCAAACAGGAUUAGAUACCCUGGUAGUCCACGCAGUAAACGAUGAUUACUAGCUGUUUGCGAUACACAGUAAGCGGCACAGCGAAAGCGUUAAGUAAUCCACCUGGGGAGUACGCCGGCAACGGUGAAACUCAAAUGAAUUGACGGGG
rnacentral:rRNA from 1 species